AUCGACGAUCACGACUACGACGUGAAGAUGCGCAACGUGCAGCGCUUCAUCGGCGAUGGCGACAAGGUGAAGGUCACCCUGCGCUUCCGUGGCCGCGAACUGUCGCACCAGCAGCUGGGCAUGGACCUGCUGCGCCGCGUGCAGGCCGAUGUGGAAGAGAUCGCGAAGAUCGAAGCCUAUCCGCGCAUGGAAGGCCGCCAGAUGCUGAUGGUGCUGGCGCCCAAGUAAGCGCUGACCGGCAUUGCCAAAGAAAAAGGGCGUACCCGCCGGGUGCGCCCUUUGUCUUUGCUGGCAAAAGCGUGUGCCGUCAGUCCUUGGGCA
rnacentral:misc_RNA from 1 species